rnacentral:rRNA from 1 species
GACGAACCGUGCGAACGUUAUUCGGAAUCACUGGGCUUAAAGCGCGUGUAGGCGGCCCGGCACGUCAGUCGCUGAAAUCCCCCGGCUCAACCGGGGAAGGGGCGUUGAUACGACCGGGCUGGAGGGGGUAGGGGGAUCGGGAACUUCCGGUGGAGCGGUGAAAUGCGUUGAGAUCGGAAGGAACGCCCGUGGCGAAAGCGCGGUCCUGGACCCACCUGACGCUGAGGCACGAAGGCCAGGGGAGCAAACGGG